GCCCUCAUCGUCUAGGGGUUAGGACAGCUCCCUUUCACGGAGCAGACAGGAGUUCAAAUCUCCUUGGGGGUA
rnacentral:tRNA from 1 species